UCUCUCUGUGCACUGCACUGGACAGGGACACUCAGUCCUUUGACUCCCUGUGGGCGAUGCAAGGCCCUCCUGGCAGCUGGUCCCUCUCUCAGGCCGUGUCUGCUGCUGUUGCCACAAGAUUUAACAAUUUAAGCAAAGUAACCUAUUCUCAACUGAAUGAUUGCAUUGAUGAAAUUCGGAAGAGUCUAUUAAUUUAGCUUGUGUCCUAUAGUUUGUGGGAUUGCCUAACAAAAAGUAAUAUUCCACGAAUGCUACACUUUUCAUAAAUUACCUAUCACCCAUUUUACUGCUACAAGACCCUGUUUCCCCAUACUCCCCAAGGUCCUAUACACCUGAUAUCACCACAUUGUCUGGUAUUCAUUUGUACUCGUGCAUGGAUUAAAUGCUGAAUAUCUUGUAUUGAUCUGA